GACAGAGGUGCCGAGCGUUAGGCGGAAUUACUGGGCUUAAAGCGUGUGUAGGCGGGUCGUUAAGUGUCCGAGUGAAAUCCCACGGCUCAACCGUGGAACUGCCGGGCAUACUGGCGAUCUUGAGGCAUUCAGGGGCGAGCGGAACAAAUGGUGGAGCGGUGAAAUGCGUAGAUAUCAUUUGGAACGCCAAUGGUGAAAACAGCUCGCUGGGAAUGAUCUGACGCUGAGACGCGAAAGCCAGGGGAGCGAACGGG
rnacentral:rRNA from 1 species